AUUCAUAAUUCAUUCACACUUUCCUUCCAUGAGUAGUUGAACUCCACCUUUCUUCUUCUUCUUCUUCUUCUUCUUCUUCUGUUUGGAAGAACAAGUUGAAAAGUAACACAGCACCAAACACAAAACUCAAGCAACCCCAUCAUUUCAUCGGCAUAAAUUUCCCAACUUGCAUUCAUUCUGAAACACACUGCAAUGUGAUUGUAAUUGUGGUUGUGAAUUGACUUGUAUUGUGUGGUGCUUCAAAUUCAUGUUCAUAUGUCCCUUUCUCAACCAAAAAUGUCUGUUGCUGAGCUCAAGGAGCGUCACUUAGCUGCCACUGACACACUCAACAAUCUCAAACAACGUUUAAACCAUACACGCCGUUCUUUGCUUGAUACUGAUCUUGCUGGGUAUGCGAGGUCUCAGGGUAAGAGUCCUGUGACUUUUGGACCUACUGAUCUGGUUUGCUGUAGAACUUUGCAGGGCCAUACAGGAAAGGUGUAUUCAUUAGAUUGGACAUCUGAGAGGAAUCGGAUUGUUAGUGCAUCCCAAGAUGGUCGUUUAAUUGUGUGGAAUGCUCUAACAAGGCAGAAAAUCCACGCCAUAAAGCUUCCUUGUGCAUGGGUCAUGGCAACUGCUUUCUCACCAACUGGUCAGUCAAUUACAUGUGGUGGACUUGACAGUGUUUGCUCUAUUUUCAACCUGAAUUCCGCCACCGACAAGGAUGGGAAUCUACCUGUUUCCAGGACGCUUUGUGGACAUAAGGGUUACAUUUCAUCUUGUCAGUAUGUUCCUGACGAAGACACUCACUUAAUUACUGGUUCUGGUGAUCAGACUUGUGUUCUAUGGGAUAUUACUACCGGCCUUAAAACUUCUGUCUUUGGUGGUGAAUUUCAAUCUGGACAUACUGCAGAUGUACUUAGGAAUAUGCUGUUACUUUGUCCUGCCUUAGCAUCUCCAUUAACGGAUCCAACUCAAGAAUGUUUGCAUCUGGUUCUUGUGACGCCACUGCUCGAUUGUGGGAUACACGUAUGGCAAGUCGAGCAGUUCGGACAUUCCAUGGGCAUGAGGGAGAUGUUAAUUCGGUCAAGCUCUUUCCAGAUGGAAAUAGAUUCGGAACUGGCUCGGAGGACGGAACAUGCAGAUUGUUUGACAUUCGGACUGGACAUCAACUUCAAGUAUACUGUCAGAAGCACAGUGACAAUGAAACACCACCCGUGACCUCCAUCGCGUUCUCCAUAUCAGGAAGACUCCUUUUUGCCGGAUACACAAAUGGAGAUUGCUAUGUAUGGGACACUUUGUUGGCAAAGGUGGUGUUGAAUUUAGGGUCUCUUCAAGACUCUCAUGAGGGCAGGAUCAGCUGUUUAGGUCUGGCAGCUGAUGGAAGUGCCUUGUGUACAGGAAGUUGGGACACAAACCUUAAGAUAUGGGCAUUUGGAGGGCAUAGGAGGAUGAUUUGAGCCAUUGAAGGAGAGGGUACAGACUAAACAUUUGAGUUCCCUUGUUAGGUCCAUUUAUAUGAAAGCCUAUACGAGUGGCUAUAUACGUUCCUAACGCAUGUAGUAUAUAACUAUAUAUAAGCAUUUCUCCUUUGAUGAGAAGAAUUGUGUGGAAUACAAAGGUUAUAUAACAUUUUCUCGAUUGUGAAUGUAGUAUGAAACAAUAUUUACGUUCGUUAUAACAUUAGAAUAUAUAGGCAAAUGCUCUUUAUGCAUC